rnacentral:rRNA from 1 species
GGAACCUUUACAAUGUGCGAAAGCAUGAUAAGGGGACUCCGAGUGCCAGCAUCUAAUGCUGGCUGUCCUUGUGCCUAAAAAGCACAAGAUAGCAAGGGCCGGGUAAGACCGGUGCCAGCCGCCGCGGUAACACCGGCGGCCCGAGUGGUAGCCGCUAUUAUUGGGUCUAAAGGGUCCGUAGCCGGUUCGGUAAGUCCUUUGGGAAAUCUGGUUGCUUAACAAUCAGACUGCCAAGGGAUACUGCUGAACUUGAGACCGGGAGAGGUAAGAGGUACUUCAGGGGUAGGAGUGAAAUCUUGUGAUCCCUGGGGGACCAUCUGUGGCGAAGGCGUCUUACCAGAACGGGUCUGACGGUGAGGGACGAAAGCUGGGGGCGCAAACCGGAUUAGAUACCCGGGUAGUCCCAGCCGUAAACGAUGCUCGCUAUGUGUCAGGUACGGUGUGACCGUAUCUGGUGCCGUAGGGAAGCCGUGAAGCGAGCCACCUGGGAAGUACGGUCGCAAGACUGAAACUUAAAGGAAUUGGCGGGGGAGCACUACAACGGGUGGAGCCUGCGGUUCAAUUGGAUUCAACGCCGGGAAGGGCGA